UACAGAGGUCUCAAGCGUUUGUUCGGAUCAUUGGGCGUAAAGGGUGCGUAGGUGGCGUCGUAAGUCGGGGUGUGAAAUUUCGGGAGCUUAACUCCGAAACUGCAUUCGAUACUGCGGUGCUUGAGGACUGGAGAGGAGACUGGAAUUUGACGGUGUAGCAGUGAAAUGCGUAGAGAUCGUAAGGAAGACCAGUGGCGAAGGCUGGGUCUCGUGGACAGUUCCUGACACUGAGGCACGAAGGCCAGGGGAGCAAACGGG
rnacentral:rRNA from 1 species